GCCAGCAGCCGCGGUAAGACGAAGGAUGCGAGCGUUAUCCGGAAUUACUGGGCGUAAAGGACGUCUAGGCGGUUGGAUAAGUCAUUUGUGAAAUCCCAGGGCUUAACCCUGGAAGGUCUUGUGAUACUGUCCGGCUUGGGUGUAGGAGAGGAGAGCGGAACUCACAGAGUAGCGGUGGAAUGCGUAGAUACUGUGAGGUACCCCGAUGGCGAAGGCAGCUCUCUGGCCUACUACCGACGCUGAAGCGUGAAAGCGUGGGGAGCAAAGGGGAUUAGAUACCCCCGUAGUCCACGCCCCCAACGAUGUUCACUUGGUGUCGGGAGCCUAUUUAUCUCGGUGCCCGAGCUAACGCGUUAAGUGAACCGCCUGAAGAAUACGGCCGCAAGGGUAAAACUCAAGAAAAUUGACGGGUCCC
rnacentral:rRNA from 1 species